CAAGUCGAACGAGGUUAAUUCGGUAGCAAUACUGGGUUAACCUAGUGGCGAACGGGUGCGUAACACGUGACCAACCUGCCUAGAAGUGGGGGAUAGCUCGGCGAAAGCCGGAUUAAUACCGCAUGUGAUCGUAAGAUCAAAGCAGCAAUGCGCUUUUAGAGGGGGUCGCGGCCUAUCAGCUAGUUGGUGAGGUAACGGCUUACCAAGGCAGCGACGGGUAGCUGGUCUGAGAGGACGACCAGCCACACUGGAACUGAGACACGGUCCAGACACCUACGGGUGGCAGCAGUCGAGAAUUUUUCUCAAUGGGGGAAACCCUGAAGGAGCGACGCCGCGUGGAGGAUGAAGGCUUUCGGGUUGUAAACUCCUGUCAUCUGGGAACAAAACUCGCAAGAGCUUGAUAGUACCAGAAGAGGAAGAGACGGCUAACUCUGUGCCAGCAGCCGCGGUAAUACAGAGGUCUCAAGCGUUGUUCGGAUUCAUUGGGCGUAAAGGGCGCGUAGGCGGCGGGGUAAGUCUGGUGUGAAAUCUCGGAGCUCAACUUCGAAAAUGCACUGGAUACUGCUCUGCUAGAGGGCUGGAGAGGAGAUCGGAAUUCACGGUGUAGCAGUGAAAUGCGUAGAUAUCGUGAGGAAGACCAGUGGCGAAGGCGGAUCUCUGGACAGCUCCUGACGCUGAGGCGCGAAGGCUAGGGGAGCAAACGGGAUUAGAUACCCCGGUAGUCCUAGCAGUAAACGGUGCACGUUUGGUGUGCGCGGAUUCGACCCCGUGCGUGCCGGAGCUAACGCGUUAAACGUGCCGCCUGAGGAGUACGGUCGCAAGAUUAAAACUCAAAGAAAUUGACGGGGGCCCGCACAAGCGGUGGAGUAUGUGGCUUAAUUC
rnacentral:rRNA from 1 species